UGACCUUCAGGACCAUCCUGUCAAGAAAGUCUCAUUAUUAUUCAGAUUUACGAAUCAGAACUGAAGUUAAGUGACCUUUCCAAGGUCAUACUGAAAGUAUUUUAUUUGCCAAAACAAAAAGACAAAAAACCCAAAUUCCAUCCCACAAUGCUCGAAUCAUCUGGAGUCCAAUGAAUGCGUGUUACCCAUUGCUCUGAAGGCAGGAGGCAAUACUAACACCUUUCCUGCAGGGUUGUUGCCCUGAAGGUGAAACGUGGCAGUUAAAAAGGGGGGGGUGGGGCAAAAUUCCGCUCGCAGUCACUGCGAGUAACUCCUCCCAGAUGGAUGCUGUGCGGACGGCAAUUGUAAACUCUGGACAAAAGAGUCUUUCAAGCAGCAGAAGUUUAACAUUUUGAUGAAGUUCAAUAUGUCAAACUUUUCUCUUGUGGAUCAUGCAUUUUCUGUCUUAUCUAAGAAAUUUUUGCUUCACUCAAGAAUAAUUAUGUGGAGUACCAUCCAGGUCAAUCUCCAAUUACAACCCCAUUCUUCUCUCCAAGAGCACUGACCAUCUCGAUUUUGCAGUAAUGAUUCUCUUGCUCUCAUUUAAAGACUUACUAUGUAUUGUGCUGUAUCUGGACAUAUGGGAUGCUUCCAACAGCAUUACAAACAACGCUCCUCUGAACAAUCUUGACUGUAUCUCCUGCUGCAGGUCUUCAGCUUUAAUAAUGUCACACUGUUUUCCACGGUGCUUGCGCCCCUUCGUAUUCCCACCAGCAGUAAACGAGUGCCGAUAGCUCUACAUUUCAACCAACACGUGGAAUUACAAUGCGUUUUAAUUUCUGUUGCCAAUUUUGUGCAUGUAUGAUAGAGAUCUACUUUCCAUCGUGUGGGAUCCUGGAUUUUGUUUCAUGUCCAUGUUCAAUUGUAAAAAUUACACUAUAUGUUUUUAAAAAGCAAAUUUGUCUUUACAAGACCAUUUUAAAAUCUUUGCAUACAAAUAUGUUAGGUGCUUACAGAUUUUUUUCUUCUGAAAAAUUUCCUUAUAAAAAUAGAAUGUGCUAUUCAUCAGCAUGUCCUAUUUUUGGGGCAAAUAUGGAUGGAUGGCAGAGCUAGAAUUUUAACCUGUGUGUCUCUCUUACUCCAGGCUCUUUCUCUUGUCUUUAGGAGAGCAUGGUGGCAGGCAGCUGGUCUUUUCUUGUUUUAUUUUGAUAUAAUUUUAAGCAACUUGCUCUAGUGGGAGCUCCUGAUGGCUGCCCCCUAGUGGACUCCAGCGAGACUGCGCUCACCGGAUUGUAAGACGCUCCCCCUGCCUCACUCUGCUCAUUCCCGCUGAAGGGCAAGGCCUCUGCUCUGUGUUAGCACACUGCUUCCAGCAGAGUGUAAACAAAUCGAUAAUCCCGUGUGGCCACGGGGUAAAGAAGUGACAUUCUUACCCCUGCAGAAGGAGUACACUCUUGGGGACCGAGAUCAAGGUGGGCCUAUAGCGUCACCGCUUUGGUUUCAAAUUUGGUUGGGUAUCAGACUGAAGAGGAACAGCAGGCUUUAACUUAAUACGGUUUCUCAACCUCAGCACUAUUGACAUUUUGAGUUAGAUAACCUUUUGUUGUGGGGGUUGUCCUGUGCAUCGUACGAUGUUUAACAGCAUCCUUGGCCUCCACUCACUAGAUGCCAAUAGCAUCCUUCCUCUAGUUGUGACAGCCCAAAAUGUCUCCAGACAUUGCCAAAUGUCCCUUGGUGGACAAAAUAGGCCCAAUUGAGAAACACUCUUAUAGGGGGAUAGAAAGCAGGAGAUUCAGCUCGCACAGUUCUCCAUCCCGUCAGGAGGGCCAGCAGUACCAGGUACCGCACAGCGUCUGUUGCCCCCUCACCACACAGCGCGUGAGCUGCCCUGACCAGAGCCAAGGUGUGCGUGAGUCACCUUCAUACGGAGAAGCCUUGGCCUUGAUUUAGCACCAAUCUUUUAUGUCAUAUUAGUCACAUGGGCCUGAGACGAGCAUGCAGAUUCAGAGAGCCUCCGAUACAGGUGCAUUUCCACAGGGCAGAAGAAACUGUCACAACACUCCACGCUUCUCCUGCACUGGCAGAACUCAGAGACCUGAGGUCGCUGCCAGGUAGGCCUGCCCCAGCCCAGGCCUGAAACAAAUUAACCCUUUCCUCACACUGCCACAAAACCCCACCAAGCACGGUAGAGUUGGUUUGUUAAGUGCUUCCCCACCUUGCAGAGAUGCUGUCUCGCCACCACCCCACCAAAAAAAGACCAAACCUCAGGCUUCUGUGUUACCAGGACCUGCAUAACCUUGGCAGCCUCCAUCUAAGUCUACUUUCAGCUCCUCCAAUCCCUACAUCCCGAUGAACUUCGUGGGGCCAUCCAAAAUCUAGGCUUCUGGAGUGGCUUGCGGUGGCUUACUUUGCUCGUCCAUUUAAACUCCUUUAUAUCACGUACAUUGGCUGAGUUAAGGUACAUUGCCUAUAUCUGGAAACAUUUGUCAGCCUGUAGAGACAUCUUGAAACGUUCCCUUGAAAGAAAAGUUUGGGGAAAUUCACAGGCCAUGAUUCCACGCCGGUGGGACACCACGAUGCUUUCAAACUCUGGUGGCUUCUUACAUGGCAAAGUAGUCUAGGGAACAUUGGCAGCUGUUGGAAAUGUGCUGGGGGCCAAGGAAAAUCAAAGAGUUGCCCCUCCUUCUUGUUAAAUGCCUCAGACCCUCAGAGAUCCUUACUUUACUCCUCUCCCAGGGCCAUAGAGGAAUUCAGGGGAAACAAUCUUUUACCCCCAGUUUAGGUUGCUGGAAGGAUAACUUGUAAACUUGGAUUUACUGAUGGCCAUUGGGGAGACCCAGCUUGGAACGGAGUUUGUCCAGUGGAGUUCCCCUAGAAGCAGAUCCUGCGACAAGGAUAUUAGCCCUGAGCUAACUACUGCCAAUCCUCCUCUCCCUGCUGAGGAAGACCGGCCCCAAGCCAACAUCCUCCGUGCCCAUCUUCCUCCACUCCAUACAUGGGAUGCCCACCACAGCAUGACACCAAGCGGUGCCAUGUCUGCACCCGGGAUCCAAACUGGUGAACCCCAGGCCGCCGAGAAGCGGAACGUGAGAAUGCAACCGCUGCGCCACUGGGCCGGCCCCUCACUUCUCUUGAAUCGAUGGAACCUGAGUUCGAGCCCUGGUCAACUCUGCCAUUUCCUGUCCAGACUGAUCCCUGGGACCAAGUAUUGGAGAAAAAGGCAAGUCUGCAGUUUACUAAAGCUGUGGACAUCACUUAACAGUUCCGAGGCAGCAGUUCUGAUCAGCAGGAUGGCUCUAAUCUGCAUGAUUUUCCUGGGACCCAAGUUCCUUCCAUCAUGAUGCUUUGCCAUGUUAGGCCACUAACCCUGUAUGCACAGUCAAGGAUUCCAGCCAGUGAGAAAGGGAAAGGACACAGAGGAGCCACGCCCAGGCUCAAGGUCUGGGCACAGAUCACUUCCACUUGAGUCCAUUGGCAAGAACUGAAAUGUCAUAACACCUAACCGCAAGGGAGGCAGGGGACGUGUAGCUCAGCCACGCACCCGGAAAGAAGGAGAGAACGGGUCUGCAGGAGAGCUCAUGGCGUCCAGGGACCCUCCAAGCAAGAGGCAAACCCACCUGGGCAUCUGUCUGCGCACAGUGAGCUGCCAACUAAAUAUGCCUGGGCUAGACUGUUGGAUGAUGAGAGACGCAUGGACCCACCAUCUCCCCAGAUGCCAGCCAGCCAGCUCCCAAAGUAGAGCCCCCUGCUGCCUUGGCAGCUGACUGUGGACGCAUGAGCAAGCCCAGCCAGGACCAGCAGAAUUGCUCAGCUGAUCCCAGUCUAAAUUGCUACCUUAUGGAUUGUGAGCUACAAAUAAACGGUGGUUGUUUUAAGCCGUUAAGUUUUGGGGUAGUUUGUUUCACAACAAAAGCGGAGCGUUACGGGAAGUAACCCAGAGAUUAGCAACAGCAGGGAGUCACUGCUAUGUUAGGCUGUAGAGACAAAGGGAGGAGGCAAUAUAGCCAGGGCCCAGAGCUCCCAAAAGAUGAGGAACGAGGCGUAGACAUAUCCCAUGGAGGCUCAGAGGAACAGAGUAGCUGGAGGAGAGGCAGCUGACUGCAGCAGACAGGGGGAAGAAAUACCCUGGCUUUUCGCUUUAUCUGCCCUCCAGUCUCCCACCAGGGCCUGCCAUCAGCUGAGCUCAGCUGGCAGCCAGUUGGGACGAGAGCCUGGAGAUGCAGACUUCAGGAGUCAGCCUUUCUGCAACAGAGAGCAGAGCCGGGGAAGGGCUGGGAAUGGAUCUGAGGGCAAACAGGCCCAGGACUGACACUACACAUCCUUUAGGGGAAAGAAAAGGAAGUGAGUUCACUGAUUGAACUUUCAAAACAGCGCAAUUGCAUUCUCUUCUUUGUGUUUUAUUCCCUGCUCAGGAAUUUAGCUCAAAAUAAAAAUGAAUUCUAGCAACUGGAGAACUGUGAUUGCAAGUGUCUCAACUUUUUACAAAAUAUUCAACCAAGCUGAAUUAGCCUAUUUAUAAAAUGUUGCACCCACAAUGCCCCAUCAAAACGCAAAUCAUCAAAACAGCCUGAAUGACGCUGGAGUUAGGUCAAAAAACACAGAAGUUUUAAAACACCAAUUUGGUUAAUUUUAAUUCAUUCAGCAACCAUUAAAAACUUUUUGUAUGCCGAUCAAGUACAAUGAAGGGUGAUGCCACAGAUUUGCACACACAUCUACACACAGAUAAUUGGAAUAUAGUACAGAUGUUGUCAUUGAGGUAUGAAGGUGGGGGUCAUUUAAGCUGGGUUUUGAAGAAUAAGUUAGAGUUCACCAGAUGGAAAAGAGAAAGAACAGUUUUUCAGGAGGAGUGUGCAAAGGUUCAGAGACAAGAUGUCAUAUUUAAGAAACUAUAAGUACUGUAGCUUGGUGUGGCUGGAACACUGAGUGUGGGAGGAAUAUGGAGAGAGAUGAGGCCAUAGAUGUGGCAGGGGCUAGACCAUAGAGGCCUUAAAUGUUGUGCUGAGGAGUUUGCCCUUUAUAGGCAAUUGGGAGACAUCAGUAUUUUUAUUUUAGUAGAUUUUUGAGAAUUAAAAAUAAUACAUGGGCACAUGUACGGUGACGGAUGGUAAUUAGUCUUUGGGUGGUAAGCAUGAUGUAAUCUACACAGAAAUCGAAAUAUAACGACGUACACCUGAAACUUAUGCAGUAUUAUAAGCCAAUGUUACCUCAAUUAAAAAAAAAUACAUGUUUAUUUUAAGGAGCUGAAAGAUGACAUAAAAGGUGAAAAGAGGUCAUGAUCUCUGCCCUCUUUUAUCCUUGAGGUAGCCAGGGCUAGUAAUCAGGACACAGCUUUCUCUUCUCCAGGGUUGGUUGGUUUUCUUAUUUGCUGUGGCUUGGAGUGCAAAAAAUACACUUAUUACUCUGCAACUUGCUUUUUUCCCUUAACAACAUGUGGACAUCACUCCAGAUGAGUUAGAUUUAACUCAAAUAUUUCUUCAGCCAUUCUCUUACUGGUGGGCAUUCAACUUGUCUGUUUUUAGCAGUUACAAUAAUAUUGUGGUAUGCCUCCUUGACGAUGAGUCUGGGGAUAUUGGGCUCUCGUUUCAGUAAAAUAGAUUCUGGGUCAAUGGAUGUUUGCAUUUUUUAUUUUAAUGGAUGUGUCUCAAUUACUUUUUUAAUAGGUUGCAGCUAUUCCUAUUUCUCAACACUGUCAAACAGAACUGGACAUUAACACUUUUUCACUUCUAAAUUUAGGCAAAUGUAAUGAAUGAAAGAAAGGCUGUAUUGGUUUAAUUUGCAUUUCCUUGACUUCUACUGACACUGAGCAUCUGAUCAUGCUUAUUGACAAUUUGCAUGUUCCCUUAUGUGAAUUGCCAGCUCAUUUUUCUAUUCAGUUGUCUUUUUCUUAUCAACUGGUAAAAGUUCUUUGAAUAUUAGUAAUUGUUAAUUUUUAUCCAUGUGUUUUGCAAAGGUUCUCAUUCCACCUCAGAUUAUCAGUUGCCUUUUUUUUUUUAAAAGUCUUUUUAUUUGGAAAUGAUUAGAAACUAACAGGGUGUUGUGAAAAUGCUAGAGUCCCAUGUACCUUCAGCCAGCUUCUCCCAAAGGUAGCAUCUUACAUAACUAUAGUGCAAUAUCAAAAC
ensembl:lncRNA